rnacentral:rRNA from 2 species
UACGGAGGGUGCAAGCGUUAUCCGGAUUUAUUGGGUUUAAAGGGUCCGUAGGCGGAUCUGUAAGUCAGUGGUGAAAUCUCAUAGCUUAACUAUGAAACUGCCAUUGAUACUGCAGGUCUUGAGUGAGAUUGAGGUAGCUGGAAUAAGUAGUGUAGCGGUGAAAUGCAUAGAUAUUACUUAGAACACCAAUUGCGAAGGCAGGUUACCAAGUCUUAACUGACGCUGAUGGACGAAAGCGUGGGGAGCGAACAGG